rnacentral:rRNA from 1 species
AGCGCAGGCGGUCUGGCAAGUCUGAUGUGAAAGCCCGGGGCUCAACCCCGGGACUGCAUUGGAAACUGUCAGACUAGAGUGUCGGAGAGGUAAGUGGAAUUCCUAGUGUAGCGGUGAAAUGCGUAGAUAUUAGGAGGAACACCAGUGGCGAAGGCGGCUUACUGGACGAUAACUGACGCUGAGGCUCGAAAGCGUGGGGAGCAAACA